GAUUCCUCCUCCUGGUUAAAGCCAAGUCAUUUUUGUAGUGCUGAAGGAGAAGAUGUAUAAAUAAAUUUGGCCAUCUUCUCCGUCUCGGUAGAAUUAACAAGAAAAGCCACAAUGGUGAGGGCUGAACGUGCAGAACAUGCAGUUUCUUUUUUGUUAAAUAUUCACAGAAGUUCAUAUCAGUAAAUAACUGUGCCAAUCUUUGUUUGGGUUUGGAUUGAAUUCUAUUCCAACCGGCUCUAUCCCUGUAAUCACAUCACAUCUAAACUAAUUAGGAUAAUCAAGAACGUGCCACAGAACCCACUUUACACUCGCCUUAAACAGAGCAAUGGCUGAAGUACACUUCAGUGCAUGGGGGAAGUUCUAGAUGUUAACACCAGGAUUCCUCAAAUCUCCAAAUAGCAGAACUACAGAAGUGGAGCUGGAAUUUGGAAGAGCAGCGGCCAGAGAAACAGCUGCUGUGUGUCUCCUCACGCUGAGAGGCGGGCAGGGGGCGGAGCAGAAAGAUGAGCGGAGAAGAAACCACCUGAGAUCAGAUGGUGAAGUCUCCUCUAAUCUCGACCCUGUGGGGCACAGAACCAGACGUCUCAUGAGCAGGCAAUAAAUUUUUUUCCAUUGUGGGUUUUUUUCUCCACAAGAGGGUUCUCCUGGUGAUCAAUGAAAUAUUCUGGGUGGUUCUAUAGAUGGGAGAUGGUCCAAACACAUUUCAGAACAUAUUAAAACCAGAACACCCUGCCUACAUCCUUCAUGCUGAUAUGUCCAGCU
ensembl:lncRNA